rnacentral:rRNA from 1 species
GAUGAACGCUGGCGGCGUGCCUAAUACAUGCCAGUCGAGCGAACGGACGAGAAGCUUGCUUCUCUGAUGUUAGCGGCGGACGGGUGAGUAACACGUGGAUAACCUACCUAUAAGACUAGGAUAACUUCGGGAAACCGGAGCUAAUACCGGAUAAUAUUUUGAACCGCAUGGUUCAAAAGUGAAAGACGGUCUUGCUGUCACUUAUAGAUGGAUCCGCGCUGCAUUAGCUAGUUGGUAAGGUAACGGCUUACCAAGGCAACGAUGCAUAGCCGACCUGAGAGGGUGAUCGGCCACACUAGAGCUGAGACACGGUCCAGACUCCUAAGGGAGGCAGCAGUAGGGAAUCUUGCGCAAUGGGCGAAAGCCUGACGGAGCAACGCCGCGUGAGUGAUGAAGGUCUUCGGAUCGUAAAACUCUGUUAUUAGGGAAGAACAUAUGUGUAAGUAACUGUGCACAUCUUGACGGUACCGAAUCAGAAAGCCACGGCAAACUACGU